rnacentral:rRNA from 1 species
GUUAAACCGAGUGAGAAACUCUGGUCGCCGUAAGCCCAAGGUUUCCUGGGGAAGGAUAAUCCUCCCAUGGGUUAGUCGGCUCCUAAGCCAAGGCCGAAAGGCGUAGGUGAUGGGAAGCAGGUUAAUAUUCCUGCACCACCAGGGAUGGCGUUGAAGCAAGCAGGGACGGAGAAGGGUAGGCCGGGCGCAGCGUAAGGUCGUCUGCGUUCAAGCCCGUAGGAGGGACCAUUAGGACCCAAUAGGGACAAACGGUGGUUCAUGACUCCGAGAGGUGAUGAGGUCCGGACUUGUCCGGGACACCCGGUGAUCCCAUGCUUCCAAGAAAAGCUGCGUGCAGAGCCCCUCUGGUGACCGUACCGCAAACCGACUCAGGUGGGCGGGGUGAGUAUCCCAAGGCGCGUGAGAGAACCCUGGUUAAGGAACUAGGCAAAAUAACACCGUAACUUCGGGAGAAGGUGUGCCGUUGAUGGUGAAGCCCUCCUCGGGCCGAGCUGUUGGCGGUUGCAGCGAAAUGGGGAUUGUGACUGUUUACUAAAAACAUAGGACUCUGCAAAGUCGAAAGACGACGUAUAGGGUCUGAUGCCUGCCCGGUGCUGGAAGGUUAAGGGGAAGUGUCAGCGCAAGCGAAGCACCCAACCGAAGCCCCAGUAAACGGCGGCCGUAACGAUAACGGUCCUAAGGUAGCGAAAUUCCUUGUCGGGUAAGUUCCGACCUGCACGAAUGGCAUAACAACAUUCCCGCUGUCUCAACCAGGGACUCAGCGAAAUUGCAUAGGGGGUGAAGAUGCCCUCUACCCGCGGCAAGACGGGAAGACCCCAUGAACCUUUACUGCAACUUGGCAGUGAACUUCGGGAUGUUCUGCGUAGGAUAGGUGGGAGGCGUUGAAGCCGGGCUUCCGGGUUCGGCAGAGCCACCGUUGAAAUACCACCCUGAACAUUCUGGGGUUCUAACCUAGGCCCGUGAUCCGGGUCGGGGACACUGCCUGGUAGGCAGUUUGACUGGGGCGGUCGCCUCCAAAAUCGUAACGGAGGCGUGCGAAGGUUCCCUCAGCCUGAUUGGAAACCAGGCGUAGAGUGCAAACGCAUAAGGGAGCUUGACUGUGAGACCGACAGGUCGAGCAGGUGCGAAAGCAGGUGUUAGUGAUCCGGUGGUUCCUGAUGGAAGGGCCAUCGCUCAACGGAUAAAAGGUACUCUGGGGAUAACAGGCUGAUCGCGCCUGAGAGUUCACAUCGGCGGCGCGGUUUGGCACCUCGAUGUCGGCUCAUCGCAUCCUGGGGCUGGAGCAGGUCCCAAGGGUUUGGCUGUUCGCCAAUUAAAGCGGUACGCGAGCUGGGUUUAGAACGUCGUGAGACAGUUCGGUCCCUAUCUGCCGUGGGCGUAGGACACUUGAGAGGAGUUGCCCAUAGUACGAGAGGACCUGGGUGAACGUACCCCUGGUGAUCCGGUUGUUCUGCCAAGAGCAUUGCCGGGUAGCUACGUACGGAACGGAUAACCGCUGAAAGCAUCUAAGCGGGAAGCCGGCCUCAAGACUAGGUGUCCCGUCGAAAGACCUAAAGGCUCCAUGUAGACCACGUGGUAAUAGGCUGGGUGUGAAAGCGUAGCAAUGCGCGGAGCUAACCAGUACUAAUAAGCCGUGAGGCUUGACCAU